AAUCAAAAUGAACAAAUGUAGUUCUAUGUAUGAUGUAUAUAGAGACAAUAAUAUUUCUUUUCUUUUUUCAUUUUCAGGAACUUUACGUAGGUCUACAGUUUUAAUUUUGGACUCAUGCACUAGGAAUAUCAUAUCAGCAGAAUUGUGCCACUGAAUCAAAGGGAACUCUUUUUUUUUUAGGAGUAGCCUCCCCUUUUAAAGAUCCAAAAUGGUGAUUUUACAGUGCGGCAUGCAGUCUGGUCAUCAACGAAGAGUUUUGACACCUGUAAUACCCAUAUUUCUACCAUUCACCUCUGUAACCUUUGUUAAGUUCAUCAGACUGUCCAAGACAGGAAGUUGAGGAAUAAAGUUGACAGGACAUCCUGAACUGUCCUUGCUACCAGCUUAUGAGGGAACCAGCUGCAGUGGACAAAGUACGUUACAUCAUAGGAUAAUAGCAUUGAAUUGGAUUCUUGAACCAGAGCCAUGUGAACCUGGUCCACCUGUACCUCUCAUUGAAGACCUGUUAACAUCACCAGAGUAUGUUCAUUCUGAUACCCCUAUGGUAUGGUUACAGCAUGCAUUAUCCCUGAAUCCAUUAAAAGAGCUGCAUUGGCAACGAAACAACCCAAUGUGGUCGAUUGUAAGGAAAUAUAGCAUAUCAGCUUCCAACUUUGGUGCAGUUCUGAGUUCUAAGCAAAGGCGAUUGACAUUGUCACUGAAGAAACAGCUGAUGUCGGCUUACAAUCUGGAGUCCAUCAAGGCUGUUGCAUGGGGUAUCACUCAUGAAGAUGAUGCUUUGAGAAAGUAUGAAAAGGAAUUUGAUGCAGCUGUAGAGCAGUCAGGAUAUGGUUGCAUGAAUCCGGAGUGUUGGAGCUUCACCUGAUGGCUUAGUUGUUCGACCACCAACAUGCAGUGUAUUUUAUCAAACCCCAGAAGCCAAAGACGCCAUUCCUGAUAUUGUAGAGGUGAAGUGUCCAUAUACAGCAUUGUCUUCAACAGUAGCAGAUGGGGCACAAAAUUUGAAGGAUUUUUCAUAGAUCUUAAACAAGAUACCCUGUGCCUGAAAACCAGUCACCCAUACUAUCAUCAAAUUCAAGGCCAGCUACACAUGUAAUAAAACAUUCUGCGACUUAAUUGUGUGGACAAGAGUAGACUGCAUUGUGAUUAGAAUAGUAAAAGACAUUGAAUGACAGCAAAUGUUCCAA